CCUACGGGUGGCUGCAGUGGGGAAUGUUGCGCAAUGAUCGUAAGAGUGACGCAGCGACGCCGCGUGAAUGACGAAGGCCUUCGGGUUGUAAAGUUCUUUCGACAGGGAAGAAAAUGCCUAUAAGUAACUGUGUAUGUAUUGACGGUACCUGUAUAAGUAGCCCCGGCGAACUCCGUGCCAGCAGCCGCGGUAAUACGGAGUGGGCGAGCGUUGUUCGGAGUGACUGGGCGUAAAGAGCACGUAGGCGGUGUUGUAAGUCAUUAGUCAAAGACUCGAGCUCAACUUUAGUAAGGCUAGUGAUACUGUAAUACUAGAGUAUCAGAGAGGAAUGCAGAAUUCCUGGUGUAGCGGUGAAAUGCGUAGAUAUCAGGAGGAAUACCGUUCGCGAAGGCAGCAAUCUGGCUGGAAACUGACGCUGAGGUGCGAAAGCGUGGGUAGCAAACAGGAUUAGAUACCCUUGUAGUC
rnacentral:rRNA from 1 species